AGCAGCCGCGGUAAUUCCAGCUCCAAUAGCGUAUAUUAAAGUUGUUGCAGUUAAAAAGCUCGUAGUUGAAUUUCGGGAUCAAUGGGUUGGUCAUGCCCUCGGUAUGUACUGAUUUCAUUGGUUCUCACCUUCUAAGGAACCAUGAUGUCAUUUAUUUGAUGUUGUGGGAAAUUAGGACUGUUACCUUGAAAAAUUAGAGUGUUUAAAGCAGGCUAACGCUUGAAUACAUUAGCAUGGAAUAAUGAAAUAGGACAUCCGAUUCUAUUUUGUUGGUUUCUAGGAUCGAUGUAAUGAUUAAUAGGGAUAGUUGGGGGCAUUAGUAUUCAAUUGUCAGAGGUGAAAUUCUUGGAUUUAUUGAAGACUAACUACUGCGAAAGCAUUGCCAAGGAUGUUUUCAUUAAUCAAGAACGAAAGUUA
rnacentral:rRNA from 1 species